GACGAACGCUGGCGGCGUGCCUAAUACAUGCAAGUAGAACGCACAGUUUAUACCGUAGCUUGCUACACCAUAGACUGUGAGUUGCGAACGGGUGAGUAACGCGUAGGUAACCUGCCUGGUAGCGGGGGAUAACUAUUGGAAACGAUAGCUAAUACCGCAUAAUAUUGAUUAUUGCAUGAUAAUUGAUUGAAAGAUGCUAUUGCAUCACUACCAGAUGGACCUGCGUUGUAUUAGCUAGUAGGCGAGGUAACGGCUCACCUAGGCGACGAUACAUAGCCGACCUGAGAGGGUGAUCGGCCACACUGGGACUGAGACACGGCCCAGACUCCUACGGGAGGCAGCAGUAGGGAAUCUUCGGCAAUGGACGAAAGUCUGACCGAGCAACGCCGCGUGAGUGAAGAAGGGUUUCGGAUCGUAAAGCUCUGUUGUAAGAGAAGAACGGGUGUGAGAGUGGAAAGUUCACACUGUGACGGUAUCUUACCAGAAAGGGACGGCUAACUACGUG
rnacentral:rRNA from 1 species